AGAGUUUGAUCAGUGGCUCAGGACAACGCUGGCGGCGUGCCUAACACAUGCAAGUCGAACGGAGAUGUUGAUUUCGGUUGACGUCUUAGUGGCGAACGGGUGAGUAACGCGUGAACAAUCUGACCUUAAGAGGGGGAUAACAACGAGAAAUCGUUGCUAAUACCGCAUAAGACCACAAUGCCGCAUGGCGAAGGGGUCAAAGGAGCAAUCCGCUUAAGGAGGGGUUCGCGUCCCAUUAGGUAGUAGGGUGAGGUAACGGCCCACCUAGCCGACGAUGGGUAGCCGAGCUGAGAGGCUGAUCGGCCACACUGGAACUGAGACACGGUCCAGACUCCUACGGGAGGCAGCAGUGGGGAAUAUUGGGCAAUGGGCGCAAGCCUGACCCAGCAACGCCGCGUGAGGGAAGAAGGUUUUCGGAUUGUAAACCUCUGUCGCAGAUGACGAAACAAAUGACGGUAAUCUGUGAGGAAGCCCCGGCUAACUACGUG
rnacentral:rRNA from 1 species